GACGAACGCUGGCGGCGUGCUUAACACAUGCAAGUCGAGCGGUAAGGCCCUUUCGGGGUACGACGAGCGGCGAACGGGUAGGAGUAACAACGUGGGUGGACCUCGCCCUCCAGCUCUGGGAGUAAAGACCUCGGGAAACCGGGGUACCGUAAUAACUGGAUAUGACUCCAUGACGCAUGUUGUGGGGUGGAAAGCCUUGUGCGGCUGAGGAUGGGCCCGCGGCCUAUCAGCUUGUUGGUGGGGUGANGGCCUACCAAGGCGACGACGGGUAGCCGGCCU
rnacentral:rRNA from 1 species